CAUCAGAUCACCUUCAAUAGCAACCAUGUUCUCUGUAGCUCUGCUGCUGCUGCUGGCUGCUGGCACAUGUGUGAAGUGUGAACAGUUGACCCAGCCAGCCUCUGUGACUGUGCAGCCAGGUCAACGUCUGACCAUCACCUGUCAGGUCUCUUAUUCUCUCAGCAGCUACUACACAGCUUGGAUCAGACAGCCUGCAGGGAAAGGACUGGAGUGGAUUGUAAUAGGAGGUGUUGGAUACAACACAUACUACAAAGAUUCCCUGAAGAACAAGUUCAGUAUCAGCUUGGACUCUUCCAGUGACUCUAAACGGACAGAAUAUGCAGGCUGA